UGCUUAACACAUGCAAGUCGAACGGAAAGGCCCUGCUUUUGUGGGGUGCUCGAGUGGCGAACGGGUGAGUAACACGUGAGUAACCUGCCCUUGACUUUGGGAUAACUUCAGGAAACUGGGGCUAAUACCGGAUAGGAGCUCCUGCUGCAUGGUGGGGGUUGGAAAGUUUCGGCGGUUGGGGAUGGACUCGCGGCUUAUCAGCUUGUUGGUGGGGUAGUGGCUUACCAAGGCUUUGACGGGUAGCCGGCCUGAGAGGGUGACCGGCCACAUUGGGACUGAGAUACGGCCCAGACUCCUACGGGAGGCAGCAGUGGGGAAUAUUGCACAAUGGGCGGAAGCCUGAUGCGGCAACGCCGCGUGCGGGAUGACGGCCUUCGGGUUGUAAACCGCUUUCGCCUGUGACGAAGCGUGAGUGACGGUAAUGGGUAAAGAAGCACCGGCUAACUACGUGCCAGCAGCCGCGGUGAUACGUAGGGUGCGAGCGUUGUCCGGAUUUAUUGGGCGUAAAGGGCUCGUAGGUGGUUGAUCGCGUCGGAAGUGUAAUCUUGGGGCUUAACCCUGAGCGUGCUUUCGAUACGGGUUGACUUGAGGAAGGUAGGGGAGAAUGGAAUUCCUGGUGGAGCGGUGGAAUGCGCAGAUAUCAGGAGGAACACCAGUGGCGAAGGCGGUUCUCUGGGCCUUUCCUGACGCUGAGGAGCGAAAGCGUGGGGAGCGAACAGGCCUAGAUACCCUGGUAGUCCACGCUGUAAACGGUGGGUACUAGGUGUGGGGUCCAUUCCACGGGUUCCGUGCCGUAGCUAACGCUUUAAGUACCCCGCCUGGGGAGUACGGCCGCAAGGCUAAAACUCAAAGGAAUUGACGGGGCCCCGCACAAGCGGCGGAGCAUGCGGAUUAAUUCGAUGCAACGCGUAGAACCUUACCUGGGUUUGACAUGGAUCGGGAGUGCUCAGAGAUGGGUGUGCCUCUUUUGGGGUCGGUUCACAGGUGGUGCAUGGCUGUCGUCAGCUCGUGUCGUGAGAUGUUGGGUUAAGUCCCGCAACGAGCGCAACCCUUGUUCACUGUUGCCAGCACGUUAUGGUGGGGACUCAGUGGAGACCGCCGGGGUCAACUCGGAGGAAGGUGGGGAUGACGUCAAGUCAUCAUGCCCCUUAUGUCCAGGGCUUCACGCAUGCUACAAUGGCUGGUACAGAGAGUGGCGAGCCUGUGAGGGUGAGCGAAUCUCGGAAAGCCGGUCUCAGUUCGGAUUGGGGUCUGCAACUCGACCUCAUGAAGUCGGAGUCGCUAGUAAUCGCAGAUCAGCAACGCUGCGGUGAAUACGUUCCCGGGGCUUGUACACACCGCCCGUCAAGUCAUGAAAGUUGGUAACACCCGAAGCCGGUGGCCUAACCGUUGUGGGGGAGCCGUCGAAGGUGGGACUGGUGAUUAGGACUAAG
rnacentral:rRNA from 1 species